CACGUAGAGGCGCGGAACGCAAAAGUAGCCGGGACCCCGUCCGGAACAGAUGCCGGCAAAAGGGCGCUCCGCCGAAAUCCAUUCUCAGGUCCGCUGCAAAUGGGUUGGGCUGCGGCAAAAUAUGUCGCAGACUGUCACUUGUGAUAAGUGGAGCGCUACCGU
rnacentral:ncRNA from 1 species